GGAUGUGAAGGUGAUCUGGCUGCAACAUCUGUCACCCCACUGAUACCAGGGUUGAUUCAGUGAUCUGGCUGUCCCCUUCCCCCCUCACUGCUCCAUGUGUGUCCCUCCUGAAGCUGCAUUCUCAGAAAAGAAGAGGACCACCUGGAUAGAGGAAGACCUUAGAGGAGUAGCUGUGCUCUCCCACUAGAAUCUCCAAACAAGCUUUUAAAACAGUGAGCAACAAAAGCAAAGUUGCUAAAAUUCAGGCAGCAGAGGAUGGCUUUGGUGA
rnacentral:snRNA from 1 species